ensembl:snoRNA SNORA62 Small nucleolar RNA SNORA62/SNORA6 family
UUGGUACUAUUCCAUGAGAUUCAGGUUUAGUAAAAAUACAGCCACUGGCCAAUGAACUCACAAGUGUAGGUAGUGUUCUACAUGAGGGGCAAGUUUUUCGCUAACACCACAAGGGUCUCUGGCCCAAUGAGUGGAGUUUGAUAGUAAUACUUGCUACAAAU